GGAGAGGUGGGUGAGUGGCUGAAACCAGCAGUUUGCUAAACUGCCGUACCUUUACGGGUACCGGGGGUUCGAAUCCCCCUCUCUCCGCCA
rnacentral:tRNA from 1 species